GAUGAACGCUGGCGGCAUGCUUUACACAUGCAAGUCGGACGGGAAGUGCUGUUUCCAUUGGCGGACGGUUGAUUAACGCGUAAGAACCUGCCCUUGGGUGGGGAACAACAGCUGGAAACGGCUCCUAAUACCCCUUAUGCUGUGGAUCGAAAGGAUGAAUCCGCCCAAGUAAGGGCUCGCGUCUGUUUAUCUAUUUGGUGAGGUAAUAGCUUACCAAGGCCGUGAUCAGUAGCUGGUCCGAGAGGAAGAUCAGCCACACUGGGACUGAGACAAGGCCCAGACUCCUACGGGGAGCAGGAGUGGGGAAUUUUCCGAAAUGGGCGAAAGGCUGACGCAGGAAUGCCGGGGGGAGGGAAAAGGCCUACAGGUCAUGAACUUCUUUUCCUGGGGAAGAAACAAUGACGGUAUCUGAGGAAUAAGCAUCGCCUAACUCUGU
rnacentral:rRNA from 1 species